rnacentral:tRNA from 1 species
AAAAGAGAAGCUACCUAGCAAUUAGUUGUUACCUAAUUCCAUGUGGAACCACACCCACCUCUUUUAC